rnacentral:rRNA from 1 species
UACAGAGGGGGCAAGCGUUAUUCGGAAUUAUUGGGCGUAAAGCGCACGUAGGCGGCUAUUCAAGUCGGGGGUGAAAGCCCGGGGCUCAACCCCGGAACUGCCCUCGAAACUAGAUAGCUAGAAUCUUGGAGAGGUCAGUGGAAUUCCGAGUGUAGAGGUGAAAUUCGUAGAUAUUCGGAAGAACACCAGUGGCGAAGGCGACUGACUGGACAAGUAUUGACGCUGAGGUGCGAAAGCGUGGGGAGAAAACAGG